GCUGGCGGCACGCCUAACACAUGCAAGUCGAACGAAGUAGCAAUACUUAGUGGCAAACGGGUGAGUAAUAUGUGGGAAUCUACCUUUCGGUCUGGAAUAACAUGAGGAAACUUAUGCUAAUACCGGAUAAGCCUUUACAGGGAAAGCUUUAUGCUCCGAUUGAUGAGUCCACACUUGAUUAGUUAGUUGGUGAGGUAAUGGCUCACCAAGACAAUGAUCAAUAGCUGAUUUGAGAGGAUGAUCAGCCACAUUGGGACUGAGACACGGCCCAAACUCCUACGGGAGGCAGCAGUGGGGAAUCUUGCACAAUGGGGGAAACCCUGAUGCAGCGAUGCCGCGUGAGUGAAGAAGGCCCUUGGGUUGUAAAGCUCUUUCGUCGGGGAAGAAAAUGACUGUACCCGAAUAAGAAGGUCCGGCUAACUUCGUGCCAGCAGCCGCGGUAAUACGAAGGGACCUAGCGUAGUUCGGAAUUACUGGGCUUAAAGAGCACGUAGGUGGUUAAAAAAGUUGGUGGUGAAAUCCCAGGGCUUAACUCUGGAACUGCCAUCAAAACUUUUUAGCUAGAGUAUGAUAGAGGAAAGUAGAAUUUCUAGUGUAGAGGUGAAAUUCGUAGAUAUUAGAAAGAAUACCAAUUGCGAAGGCAGCUUUCUGGAUCAUUACUGACACUGAGGUGCGAAAGCAUGGGUAGCGAAGAGGAUUAGAUACCCUCGUAGUCCAUGCCGUAAACGAUGUGUGCUAGACGUUGGAAAUUUAUUUUCAGUGUCGCAGCAAAAGCAUUAAGCACACCGCCUGGGGAGUACGACCGCAAGGUAAACUCAAAUGAUGACGUC
rnacentral:rRNA from 1 species